ACAAAUUCUGAAGGAUGGAUUGUUUUUUUUUUUCAGUGUAAUGACUCAGAUGCCAGAUUGAUUAUGUGGUGAUCCUGAUUGAUGGUUUUCUUCAAUUCCAUUGGGUCUUGGAAAUGCCCCAUAGGUUU